rnacentral:rRNA from 1 species
AAAUUGAAGAGUUUGAUCAUGGCUCAGAUUGAACGCUGGCGGCAGGCCUAACACAUGCAAGUCGAACGGUAACAGGAAGCAGCUUGCUGCUUCGCUGACGAGUGGCGGACGGGUGAGUAAUGUCUGGGAAACUGCCUGAUGGAGGGGGAUAACUACUGGAAACGGUAGCUAAUACCGCAUAAUGUCGCAAGACCAAAGAGGGGGACCUUCGGGCCUCUUGCCAUCGGAUGUGCCCAGAUGGGAUUAGCUUGUUGGUGGGGUAACGGCUCACCAAGGCGACGAUCCCUAGCUGGUCUGAGAGGAUGACCAGCCACACUGGAACUGAGACACGGUCCAGACUCCUACGGGAGGCAGCAGUGGGGAAUAUUGCACAAUGGGCGCAAGCCUGAUGCAGCCAUGCCGCGUGUAUGAAGAAGGCCUUCGGGUUGUAAAGUACUUUCAGCGGGGAGGAAGGGAGUAAAGUUAAUACCUUUGCUCAUUGACGUUACCCGCAGAAGAAGCACCGGCUAACUCCGUGCCAGCAGCCGCGGUAAUACGGAGGGUGCAAGCGUUAAUCGGAAUUACUGGGCGUAAAGCGCACGCAGGCGGUUUGUUAAGUCAGAUGUGAAAUCCCCGGGCUCAACCUGGGAACUGCAUCUGAUACUGGCAAGCUUGAGUCUCGUAGAGGGGGGUAGAAUUCCAGGUGUAGCGGUGAAAUGCGUAGAGAUCUGGAGGAAUACCGGUGGCGAAGGCGGCCCCCUGGACGAAGACUGACGCUCAGGUGCGAAAGCGUGGGGAGCAAACAGGAUUAGAUACCCUGGUAGUCCACGCCGUAAACGAUGUCGACUUGGAGGUUGUGCCCUUGAGGCGUGGCUUCCGGAGCUAACGCGUUAAGUCGACCGCCUGGGGAGUACGGCCGCAAGGUUAAAACUCAAAUGAAUUGACGGGGGCCCGCACAAGCGGUGGAGCAUGUGGUUUAAUUCGAUGCAACGCGAAGAACCUUACCUGGUCUUGACAUCCACAGAACUUUCCAGAGAUGGAUUGGUGCCUUCGGGAACUGUGAGACAGGUGCUGCAUGGCUGUCGUCAGCUCGUGUUGUGAAAUGUUGGGUUAAGUCCCGCAACGAGCGCAACCCUUA